rnacentral:rRNA from 1 species
CCUACGGGAGGCAGCAGUGAGGAAUAUUGGUCAAUGGCCGUAAGGCUGAACCAGCCAAGUCGCGUGAAGGAAGAAGGAGCUAUGGUUUGUAAACUUCUUUUAUCGGGGAAUAAAGGUAUCCACGUGUGGAUGUUUGCAUGUACUCUAUGAAUAAGCAUCGGCUAACUCCGUGCCAGCAGCCGCGGUAAUACGGAGGAUGCGAGCGUUAUCCGGAUUUAUUGGGUUUAAAGGGUGCGUAGGUUGUUUUUUAAGUCAGCGGUGAAAGUUUGUGGCUCAACCAUAAAAUUGCCGUUGAAACUGGAAGACUUGAGUGUGUUUGAGGUAGGCGGAAUGCGUGGUGUAGCGGUGAAAUGCAUAGAUAUCACGAAGAACUCCGAUUGCGAAGGCAGCUUACUAAGCCAUAACUGACACUGAAGCUCGAAAGCGUGGGGAUCAAACAGGAUUAGAUACCCGAGUAGUC